GAUGAAGAACGCAGCGAAAUGCGAUAAGUAAUGUGAAUUGCAGAAUUCAGUGAAUCAUCGAAUCUUUGAACGCACAUUGCGCCCCCUGGUAUUCCGGGGGGCAUGCCUGUCCGAGCGUCAUUGCUGCCCUCAAGCACGGCUUGUGUGUUGGGCUUCCGUCCCUGGCAACGGGGACGGGCCCAAAAGGCAGUGGCGGCACCAUGUCUGGUCCUCGAGCGUAUGGGGCUUUGUCACCCGCUCCCGUAGGUCCAGCUGGCAGCUAGCCUCGCAACCAAUCUUUUUAACCAGGUUGACCUCGGAUCAGGUAGGGAUACCCGCUGAACUUAAGCAUAUCAAUAAGCGGAGGA
rnacentral:misc_RNA from 1 species